AUACGUAGGGGACGAGCGUUGUCCGGAAUUACUGGGCGUAAAGGGCGCGCAGGCGGAUAUUUAAGUCAGCUGUAAAAGGCAUGAGCUCAACUCAUGUAUGCGGUUGAAACUGGGUAUCUAGAGUGCUGGAGAGGUAGGCGGUAUUCCCGGUGUAGCGGUGAAAUGCGUAGAUAUCGGGAAGAACACCAGUGGCGAAGGCGGCUUACUGGCCAGCAACUGACGCUGAGGCGCGAAAGCCAGGGGAGCGAACGGGAUUAGAUACCCCGGUAGUCCUGGCCGUAAACGAUGAAUGCUAGGUGUGGGUGUCGAGAGGCAUCCGUGCCGGAGUUAACGCGAUAAGCAUUCCGCCUGGGGAGUACGAUCGCAAGAUUGAAACUCAAAGGAAUUGGCGGGG
rnacentral:rRNA from 1 species